rnacentral:rRNA from 1 species
GACGAACGCUGGCGGCGUGCUUAACACAUGCAAGUCGAACGGUGAAGCGCCUUCCUUUUUGGUGGGUGUGGAUGAGUGGCGAACUGGUGAGUAACACGUGAGUAACCUGCCCCCUUCUUCUGGAUAACCGCAUGAAAGUGUGGCUAAUACGGGAUAUUCUGGGUCUGUCGCAUGAUGGGUCUGGGAAAGAUAUUGUUUCGGUGGGGGAUGGGCUCGCGGCCUAUCAGCUUGUUGGUGGGGUGAUGGCCUACCAAGGCGGUGACGGGUAGCCGGCCUGAGAGGAUGGACGGUCACACUGGGACUGAGAGACGGCCCGGACUCCUACGGGAGGCAGCAGUGAGGAAUAGUGGACAAUGGGCGCAAGCCUGAUGCAGCGACGCCGCGUGAGGGAUGGGGGCCUGCAGGUUGUGAACCUCUUUCGCCAGUGAAGCAGGCCUGCCUCGUCUGUGGGUGGGUUGACGGUAGCUGGAUAAGAAGCGCCGGCUAACUACGUG